AUUGAACGCUGGCGGCAGGCCUAACACAUGCAAGUCGAACGGUAGCACAGAGAGCUUGCUCUCGGGUGCCGAGUGGCGGACGGGUGAGUAAUGUCUGGGAAACUGCCCGAUGGAGGGGGAUAACUACUGGAAACGGUAGCUAAUACCGCAUAAUGUCGCAAGACCAAAGAGGGGGACUUUCGGGCCUCUUGCCAUCGGAUGUGCCCAGAUGGGAUUAGCUAGUUGGUGAGGUAAUGGCUCACCAAGGCGACGAUCCCUAGCUGGUCUGAGAGGAUGACCAGCCACACUGGAACUGAGACACGGUCCAGACUCCUACGGGAGGCAGCAGUGGGGAAUAUUGCACAAUGGGCGCAAGCCUGAUGCAGCCAUGCCGCGUGUAUGAAGAAGGCCUUCGGGUUGUAAAGUACUUUCAGCGGGGAGGAAGGCAAUGCGGUUAAUAACCGUGUUGAUUGACGUUACCCGCAGAAGAAGCACCGGCUAACUCCGUG
rnacentral:rRNA from 1 species